GGCGACUUGGCCGAGUGGUUAUGGCGCUAGUUUCAGGUGACUCAGUUACUUACUAGUUUCGAAAGAUUCCGGGGUUCGAGUCCCCGAGUCGUCA